ACCGCCCAACGAACCGACGAUCAGUAGCCGGCCUGAGAGGGUGAACGGCCACAUUGGGACUGAGACACGGCCCAAACUCCUACGGGAGGCAGCAG
rnacentral:rRNA from 1 species